rnacentral:rRNA from 1 species
UACAGAGGUGGCAAGCGUUGUUCGGAAUUACUGGGCGUAAAGGGCGCGUAGGCGGCCUUCUUAGUCAGACGUGAAAUCCCCCGGCUUAACCUGGGAACUGCGUCUGAUACUGGAAGGCUGGAGUUCGGGAGAGGGAUGUGGAAUUCCAGGUGUAGCGGUGAAAUGCGUAGAUAUCUGGAGGAACACCGGUGGCGAAGGCGGCAUCCUGGACCGAAACUGACGCUGAUGCGCGAAAGCCAGGGGAGCAAACGGGAUUAGAAAC